ACAUCCCCACCUUCCAGGUGAGGAAACCGAGGCACCGAGAGCUGGGGGCCAGGCCAGGGGGUCUCCCUGGGGGGAGCAGAGGAGUGUCGGACCUCAGAAGAGGCUCUGGGGGUCUGAGCCGCCACCGGGCGCUGCCUUCCAGGUUCAGCAGGGACAGAGCUCAGGGGGAAGGCACCUCCCGUCCUGGUUCAAUACAUGGACCCCUGACCCUGGGAAAGGGACUGAGCCAGGGGAGGCCUCAGGUCACUGCACCAUGAAGUUGUGGGGAGCUGCGGGGGCCUCUGGGCUCCGAGCUGGGCAGGCACAGCGUGGGGACCACGUGCCGAGGGGAAGAAGCGUGCCAGGGUGGACGUCUCAGUGCACACGCAGGAACAUGCAACGGCUGAGCCAGCCCAGAGAGGCAGCGGAGCGUGUGCGGGGCGGCCGGCGGAGGAGCAGCAGGAUCCCAGGCGGGAGCGCACGGCCUUUUCGGAGGCAGGUUCCAGGACAAUACUAAGCGUUUACAUCAUUGCACUAUUUGAUCCAGGAGGUCCCACUGUGGCGUUUCAUCGAUAAACGCACAUGCGAGGUGGAGGGUGGCUGGUGUGGAAUGUGCCCGGCAGCCUUCAUAGCAAAGGAGAAUUCUAGAACCAACCGAAGUGCCCCUCUGAAGGGAGCUGGUCCCGUCCGUUCCAGCCGCCGUGGAGUAACACAGCCAGCAGUUUCCCUCCUGCCACGAAAGCUCGAGACUGAAACUCAGGAUGAACUGUUUUCAGCCCGGGUCACCCCAGCCCUGGGGUGGAGGCCCAUUGAGGAUGGCCGAGCAGGGGCGGGCAUCCAGGCAGGUCCAGCAGUCCUGGCGGGCUGAGGAGAAGGAGGUCAGUGCUCAGGGAGACAUCCGCAGAGGGACCUGGCAGGCAGAGCUCCAGAAGGGAGGGAACUGCACAGACAGAAAGCUCCAGAAGGCUGCCUGAGGGCCUCUGAGGCCUCCGGAGUCAGGCGCCAUGGAUGUGGAAGGUGGACUCUUCAGCAUGGAUGGGACCCUAGGGGGCUGUGGACCCCCGGCCCCUGGGACUCACAGGUGGGAGACAGGAGUUCCAACCGCCAGGGGGAGAGUCCUGGAGGAUCCUGGGCUGUUGGCAGCCACCCAGCAGGGCCCGUCCUGGGAGUGGGGCUGGACUCUUCCUGCAGGAAAGGCUGGGCUGGACCUGCUCUGAGAGGCUUCAGAACCAGCCACACGAAGACCAAAGUGAAGAGCAAGGAGCUGAACUCCACGCAGAACACAGCGCAGCGUCCUUUAAAGGAAGGCCAAAAACAACCCAACAAAAAUGCCAGGUGAUCAAAGCGGUCACAGCACAAUGUCCACAUCCAACGAGAAAUUGCUACUACGUCCAGACGCAGGGAAAGGUGGCCGUGGGAACGUGAGUCAGCAGCAACAGGCCCAGAAGGGCAGCCACGGUGGACUUGUCAGACGUGGACCCUGAAAUGACAAUCACAGCAUGAUUUCAGGCAGGAGCCUGAAAUGGUACAGCUUUGGACAUCGGUUUGGCAAAUUCUUUUAGAGAGAAACACACACCUUCCCUAGGACCCAGCAACUCCACUCCUAAUAACCAAGUGAAAUGGAAGGAGUUGUCCUCAGCAAAACGUGUGUGCGGAAGUUCACAGUCACUUUCUCGGUGAUAACCAAGAGCUGGAAACCACUGCAACACCCACCAGCAGGUGAACGGAUUAACACACUGGGCUAGGGCCACACAAUGAGAUGCUCCGUGGCAACACAAAAUGAACCGUGGACACACACUGCACGGCGGAUGAAUAUGCAGACAUCAGGCCACGUGAAGGGAGCCAGGCCCCGAGGCGCCACGCUUUGUGAUUCAGGGUGGUCCCUCUGCGCCCAAGACCCGGCUGCCUCCUCCUCUUCCUGGCUGCAGGGAGUGCUUGUGUCUGAAGAACGCCAGGCUGGUGUCCCCAGAGGGCGGCUGGAGGGGCUCAGAAACCAUUUUCACCUUCUGUCUCCUCCAUGUCUGCACUGUUUGGGUUUGUACCCGCCUGUGUCGCUUUUGCACGGGAAGUGAGAUGGAGAGACACGUGAACCACCAUUGCUGGGGUUCCAGCAUGGGGCCCCAGGGGACCCAUGGCUUUCCCAGAAGGAAGCUCUGCCAUUGGACAGCCGGUCUCAGGCUGCUGCACAGGCCCCUCCCCGCCCUCAGCCCUGGCCUGCGGGAAUCAGGAAAGGGUGGGGUCCAGCUGCAUUGCGAAUGGACUAAAGCCACUGAUUUGCACACUUGCCAAUGGCUGAAAUGGUCAAUAAAACGUCAUGUACCUUU
rnacentral:lncRNA from 1 species